rnacentral:tRNA from 4 species
GCUUAGCUCAGCUGGUUUAGAGCAUCUGCCUUACAAGCAGAGGGUCGGCGGUUCGAAUCCGUCAGCG